UACAGAGGUCUCAAGCGUUGUUCGGAUUCAUUGGGCGUAAAGGGUGCGCAGGCGGUGCCGUAAGUCGGGUGUGAAAUCCCGGAGCUUAACUCCGGAACUGCAUUCGAUACUGCGGUGCUCGAGGACUGGAGAGGAGACUGGAAUUUACGGUGUAGCAGUGAAAUGCGUAGAUAUCGUAAGGAAGGCCAGUGGCGAAGGCGGGUCUCUGGACAGUUCCUGACGCUGAGGCACGAAGGCCAGGGGAGCAAACGGG
rnacentral:rRNA from 1 species